CAGGACAGAUAAGGCAACACAUCGUUUUGAUAUGCUAAUGAAGGGAUAAUGAGUUAUGACGUCAUAAUAUACGCCCCGCCUCUGUAUUACCAUAUAUAGAACAUAUACCGAAAACAGCAGUUUAAGCAUAAAAUACGACUGAUUUAAUACUUCAUAAGCAAAAUAUAACUACGAAUCACUCAUGUGUGUUUUUAUAAGUUUACAACAAUCAGAAUAUACGAAGAAUUUCCAUAACGCAUCUGUCGUAUGGGUGUGAAUCUGCGUCCCAAAAGCGCUUGUCAGACGAUGUAAACACGUGUAGCUGGUAUUCCCGAUGAUGGCGAUCUUUUGAUGAUUUAUCAGAGUAAUUUGAAAAGUGUCACACUGAUUUAAAAAAAAGGCUGGAAAAAAAUCUGGUACCUGCUUUGUCUUGAGAUUUACAUAAAUGAUGUUCUUAAUGGUGAUCAUUUACCAGCAUCCUUAUCCUGGUGUCAUAUACAAGAUGAAAUGAUGGAAAGAAAAACCUGAACUUUAGGAACAGGAAGACUGUGUUUUUGAAGAGAGAAGAGGACCAGAACUAAGAAGUCAUACAAUAAACACAUUGACAUCAUAAAAAGAAAUUGCAAUUUUGAGUUUGCAUGCAUAUGUCAGGUUUAAAUGUUGUCACGGAAUUUUUUUUUCAGAAAGUCCCUUUAUCUUCUUGAAUUAAUAAAACAAAUGAACCAAUUAUAAUUGUUUCUAUAUAUAUAAUUUUGUUUGAGAAGUGGAAAGGGGAUGGUAUGUAAAUGGGCGGGAGAGAGAGUCUCUCACAUAGGAGAAUUCAGACUUAUUUAAAUUCAAUAUAUUGAUGUGAACCAAAAAUGGCUUUUGAUCGCCUUGUUGCAGGAAUUACACACUCUCUUUCCUUUCUCGGUAAUGAGAAAUGAGCGUUUAGAAUUUAUUUUGUGAAUGAAUAGAUAUGCUAACCCUCCCCCUCUCCUUAAUCUUAAUCAUUCUGCAUGUGUUGAAUAAAAAUAAAAGUCAAUUUUAAUGAGUGUUUAAAUUCGAAAUUACAAGUCUAACAUGUGUAAUACAAAGGUGAAUACUGUUGAUUGCUUAUGGGGGAUGGGAAAAGGCCUCAUACAUGGGCAGAUCUACAUGUAUAGUCCCCGUGGCAAAUUCUAAUUUAAUUCACAAUUUACAUAGUAAAACACCAUGGUACCUGGCCCCUGGCAAACAGAAUAAAGUUACCCCUUUGAACCC